GACGAACGCUGGCGGCGUGCCUAAUACAUGCAAGUAGAACGCUGAAGGAGGAGCUUGCUUCUCUGGAUGAGUUGCGAACGGGUGAGUAACGCGUAGGUAACCUGCCUGGUAGCGGGGGAUAACUAUUGGAAACGAUAGCUAAUACCGCAUAAUAGUAGAUGUUGCAUGACAUUUGCUUAAAAGGUGCACUUGCAUCACUACCAGAUGGACCUGCGUUGUAUUAGCUAGUUGGUGAGGUAACGGCUCACCAAGGCAACGAUACAUAGCCGACCUGAGAGGGUGAUCGGCCACACUGGGACUGAGACACGGCCCAGACUCCUACGGGAGGCAGCAGUAGGGAAUCUUCGGCAAUGGACGGAAGUCUGACCGAGCAACGCCGCGUGAGUGAAGAAGGUUGUCGGAUCGUAAAGCUCUGUUGUAAGAGAAGAACGAGUGUGAGAGUGGAAAGUUCACAAUGUGACGGUAUCUGACCAGAAAGGGACGGCUAACUACGUG
rnacentral:rRNA from 1 species